rnacentral:rRNA from 1 species
GAUGAACGCUGACAGAAUGCUUAACACAUCAGCAAUUGAUUGGUUGCGGACGGGUGAGUAACGCGUAAAGAACUUGCCUCACAGGUAGGGACAACCUUUGGAAACGAAUGCUAAUAACUAAUACUGUGAGAGGGCUUUGCGUCCCAGUAGCUAGUUGGAGAGGUAACGGCUCACCAAGGCGAUGAUGGGUAGCCGGCCUGAGAGGGUGAUCGGCCACAAGGGGAGUGAGACACGGCCCUUACGCCUACGGGGGGAAGCAGUGGGGAUUAUUGGACAAUGGACCAAAGACUGAUCCAGAAAUUCUGUGUGGACGAUGAUGUUUUAGGAAUGUAAAGUGCUUUCAGUUGGGAAGCGGUACCAACAGAAGAAGUGACGGCUAAAUACGUGCCAGCAGCCGCGGUAAUAC